GACGAACGCUGGCGGCGUGCUUAACACAUGCAAGUCGAACGGAAAGGCCCUGCUUUUGUGGGGUGCUCGAGUGGCGAACGGGUGAGUAACACGUGAGUAACCUGCCCUUGACUUUGGGAUAACUUCAGGAAACUGGGGCUAAUACCGGAUAGGAGCUCCUGCUGCAUGGUGGGGGUUGGAAAGUUUCGGCGGUUGGGGAUGGACUCGCGGCUUAUCAGCUUGUUGGUGGGGUAGUGGCUUACCAAGGCUUUGACGGGUAGCCGGCCUGAGAGGGUGACCGGCCACAUUGGGCCUGAGAUACGGCCCAGACUGCUACGGGAGGCAGCAGUGGGGAAUAUUGCACAAUGGGCGGAAGCCUGAUGCAGCAACGCCGCGUGCGGGAUGACGGCCUUCGGGUUGUAAACCGCUUUCGCCUGUGACGAAGCGUGAGUGACGGUAAUGGGUAAAGAAGCACCGGCUAACUACGUG
rnacentral:rRNA from 1 species